CUUUACUAUAACUUUGCAGUGGCAUUAGAGGUGCCAUGUGUAGCAUAGGUGGGAGGCUUUGAAGCCUGGACGCUAGUCUGGGUGGAGCCACAACAUGAAAUACCACCCUUGUUACUUCUGAUGUCUAACCAUUGCCCGUGAAACCGGGCGUGGGACCCUGCAUGGUGGGUAGUUUGACUGGGGCGGUCGCCUCCCAAAUCGUAACGGAGGCGUACAAAGGUUGGCUCAAGCUGGUCGGAAAUCAGCUGUUGAGUGCAUUGGCAUAAGCCAGCCUGACUGCGAGACUGACAAGUCGAGCAGGAACGAAAGUUGGUCAAAGUGAUCCGGUGGUUCUGCAUGGAAGGGCCAUCGCUCAACGGAUAAAAGGUA
rnacentral:rRNA from 1 species